rnacentral:snoRNA from 1 species
CCUGUUGAUGAUGAUGAUUUGAUCGGCUACAUAUUUGCUGGUCUUGAUGAUGAGUAUGAACCAGUGAUCUCGACCAUCGUCGGGCGGCCGGAUCAAGUCACCAUUGGAGAAACAUAUGCUCAGCUAAUUAGCUUUAAGA